rnacentral:rRNA from 1 species
CACGCCGUAAACGAUGUCAACUAGCCGUUGGGAGCCUUGAGCUCUUAGUGGCGCAGCUAACGCAUUAAGUUGACCGCCUGGGGAGUACGGCCGCAAGGUUAAAACUCAAAUGAAUUGACGGGGGCCCGCACAAGCGGUGGAGCAUGUGGUUUAAUUCGAAGCAACGCGAAGAACCUUACCAGGCCUUGACAUCCAAUGAACUUUCCAGAGAUGGAUUGGUGCCUUCGGGAACAUGGAGACAGGUGC